rnacentral:snRNA from 1 species
CGCACUUCAUUAACCUAAGACUAAGAUCAAGUGUAGUAAUUAUUCUUCUCGAUUUUGUACUAUGUUGCGUGGUCAUUCGGUCACGAUAUAUUAGCUCAUUUUUUGGGAAGAGCUCAUCACAAGAGUUUGCUAUCGGGGCUCUUAAGGACCACUCAUGCGUUGCACUAUAGCACGGGCCUGGAACACCCCAU